UACGUAGGGUGCAAGCGUUGUCCGGAAUUAUUGGGCAUAAAGAGCUCGUAGGCGGUCUGUCACGUCGGCUGUGAAAUCCCGAGGCUCAACCUCGGGUCUGCAGUCGAUACGGGCAAACUAGAGUAUUGCAGGGGAGACUGGAAUUCCUGGUGUAGCGGUGAAAUGCGCAGAUAUCAGGAGGAACACCGGUGGCGAAGGCGGGUCUCUGGGCAAUAACUGACGCUGAGGAGCGAAAGCGUGGGGAGCGAACAGG
rnacentral:rRNA from 1 species